rnacentral:rRNA from 1 species
AUACGGAGGGGGCUAGCGUUGUUCGGAAUUACUGGGCGUAAAGCGCGCGUAGGCGGCUUAUCAAGUUAGGCGUGAAAGGCCUGGGCUCAACCCGGGAACUGCGCUUAAUACUGGUAGACUCGAGUCCGGGAGAGGGUGGCGGAAUUCCCAGUGUAGAGGUGAAAUUCGUAGAUAUUGGGAAGAACACCAGUGGCGAAGGCGGCCACCUGGCCCGGUACUGACGCUGAGGUGCGAAAGCGUGGGGAGCAAACAGGAUUAGAGACCCCGGUAGUCC